rnacentral:lncRNA from 1 species
GUGAAAGCUAUAAACAAGUUAGGGUCUGACUGACAUGUUGGAGAUCUAAGUCUAUUGGGUUAAGAAAAAUAAAGUCUUAUCUUCCCCAACAGACUCCAUUUUGAGGACGAAGGAUGGAUGACUCUGCACCUGGGUGGAUACAUAAAGGACCCCCUUUGCCUGGUAAUUCCCACGCAGCACAGACUGAUGCAUAAUGGUUUAUUCUUGGAUGUUGGAAGAGUCUCAUAUUAUGCAUUUGUUGGGGGUGUACUAGGACAGGAGGGACUCAUGAGUUUAUUAAAAUCAUAUAAAGAAACCCAAGCCUGAGAAAUUAUCAGGCAUAUUAGACCAAGGAAAGGGUAUCUAGAUCCCUCCCUGAACUCUAUAAAGAGGUUAACACCUAGUGAUAGCGAUGGCUCUUGUCAUCUGACCACCCAGGAUGUAUAUCAGGCAUGGGAGUCAAGAGACUGACAGGCAGAGAGGACUGACUGACUGUCUUAGGAGCUCCAUUUCAGCUGUAGUUCAUUCUUGACUAUUGACAUGGCUUACUUAAUUGGCCUUCCUGUUUGCUCACUUACACCUGUAAUCCAUCCAUCUGCCUGUUUAUCCAUCCAUCUGGAUGGUCCUAGCACCUUUGCCCUUGUAGCUGGACUCUGCAACAGCAAUGAAGUGCCUCUGAAGAGACAUCUGCUUGUUAUCUCAUCCCUAGAGACUCUAUUUAUUUUCUAUCAGCUUCUCAGCUUUGUCCUUCUAGGCCAAUCCAAAGCACCUCAAAUCCCCUUGCUUCUUAAAGACUUAAAGGCCCACCAACAUGUAAGAUUCCAGGAAAGUGGUUCUAGGGGCCACUCCCCCAAUUAUGUUUGGGGUAGCAGAGGUGAAAUAUAGAUUUUAAAAGAUGUUAAUUCAGGAACAUUGGAGGGGAGUGUGUACUAGCUAUGGGGAGGUUUAGAAGUGUCCAGUCAUUGUGCUAGUCAAGGCAUAUCAAAAUUAGCUGGUGUGUCUGUGUGUCUGUGUGUCUGUGUGUGUGUUUGUAUGUGUGUGUCUCUCUGUGUGUGUAUGUGUCUGUGUCUGUGUAUGUGUAUGUGUGUGUGUAUGUGUGUGCGCGUCUGUGUGUGUGUGUGCACAUGCACGUCUUUCAUUCAUGAUUCCAUAGCCCUUGGGAAAAUACAGCAUGUGAGUGACCUGCCAGGAACCAAAGGAUAUCAACUAUUGACCAUUAGUGUGUUACGUGGCCAAGGCCAUCUAGGAAAGUGGGAAUAUCUGGCUUCUAAUGAAAGUUCCAUACCUUGUGAACCUAUUUUUAAUAAACUCUGACAUCAUAGAAAAUC